rnacentral:rRNA from 1 species
UACGAGGGGGGCAAGCGUUGUUCGGAAUUAUUGGGCGUAAAGGGUGCGUAGGCGGUUUGGUAAGUCUUAUGUGAAAUCUACAGGCUCAACUUGUAGUCUGCAUGAGAAACUGCCGGGCUUGAGUAUGGGAGAGGUGAGUGGAAUUCCUGGUGUAGCGGUGAAAUGCGUAGAUAUCAGGAGGAACACCUGCGGCGAAAGCGGCUCACUGGACCAUUACUGACGCUGAGGCGCGAAAGCUAGGGGAGCAAACAGG